rnacentral:rRNA from 1 species
CCUGGUCUUUUGAGCGCUGUGGAACUACCUCUUUCCAUUCCGAACAGAGUCGUAAAACGCAGCAGCGUUCACGAUACUGGGGUUUCCCCUGGGACAAUAGAUCAAGGCCGGGA